GACGAACGCUGGCGGCGUGCUUAACACAUGCAAGUCGAACGGAAAGGCCCUGCUUUUGUGGGGUGCUCGAGUGGCGAACGGGUGAGUAACACGUGAGUAACCUGCCCUUGACUUUGGGAUAACUUCAGGAAACUGGGGCUAAUACCGGAUAGGAGCUCCUGCUGCAUGGUGGGGGUUGGAACGUUUCGGCGGUUGGGGAUGGACUCGCGGCUUAUCAGCUUGUUGGUGGGGUAGUGGCUUACCAAGGCUUUGACGGGUAGCCGGCCUGAGAGGGUGACCGGCCACAUGGGGACUGAGAUACGGCCCAGACUGCUACGGGGGGCAGCAGUGGGGAAUAUUGCACAAUAGGGGGAAGCCUGAUGCAGCAACGCCGCGUGCGGGAUGACGGCCUUCGGGUUGUAAACCGCUUUCGCCUGUGACGAAGCGUGAAUGACGGUAAUGGGUAAAGAAGCACCGGCUAACUACGUG
rnacentral:rRNA from 1 species